rnacentral:lncRNA from 1 species
UCUUUAUUGACUGGGGUCGCUGCAUGGGGCAUAAAUCAACAGGAGACGUCACGAAGCCUCAACCUCAGGUAGCAACGCUCAACGGCCAAAAGGCGACAUCGAACUCCAAACGGAAUGCCGCGUUUCUCUCUAAACUCAAUUAGUGCACAGUCUUUCGUUCUUUGCGUGUGAGCGAGCGUUCUGCAUUCCUUGCAUGCCACACUGGCAUUUGAUUGAUAAUUUCGCUACGCCCCGAACAUGGCACACAAAACAAAACAAAACCAAAAGAAGGAGGACAACAGAAUAUGGAAAACAGAAAACGAAAAAUAUUCAUUUUGAAAUGUUUGAUAUGGUUGCCGUUCCCAG